rnacentral:rRNA from 1 species
AACGCGAAGAACCUUACCUGGACUUGACAUCCCCUGCAUAUCUUAGAGAUAAGAGAAGCCNUUCGGGGCAGGGAGACAGGUGGUGCAUGGUGUCGUCAGCUCGUGUCGUGAGAUGUUAGGUUAAGUCCUGCAACGAGCGCAACCCCUAUUGUUAGUUGCUAGCAGUAAGAUGAGCACUCUAACGAGACANCCGCGGUUAACGCGGAGGAAGGUGGGGAUGACGUCAAAUCAUCAUGCCCCUUAUGUCCAGGGCAACACACGUGCUACAAUGGGCAGAACAGAGAGAAGCAAGACCGCGAGGUGGAGCGAACCUUGAAAACUGCUCCCAGUUCGGAUUGUCAGGCUGAAACCCGCCUGCCAUGAAGUCUGGAGUUGCUAGUAAUCGCGAAUCAGCAUGUCGCGGUUCCG